CCUACGGGUGGCAGCAGUCGAGAAUCAUUCACAAUGGGGGAAACCCUGAUGGGGCGACGCCGCGUGGGGGAAUGAAGGGCUGCGGAUUGUAAACCCCUGUCAUGGGGGAGCAAAGUAAAAAGAUAGUACCACAAGAGGAAGAGACGGCGAACGCUGUGCCAGCAGCCGCGGUAAUACAGAGGUCUCAAGCGUUGGUCGGAACCACUGGGCGGAAAGCGUGCGGAGGCUGUUUCGUAAGUCGUGGGUGAAAGGCGCGGGCUCAACCCGCGGACGGCACAUGAUACUGCGAGACUCGAGUACUGGCGGGGGAACCGGACUUCUCGGUGUCGCCGU
rnacentral:rRNA from 1 species